rnacentral:tRNA from 1 species
GGGAAUGUGGCUUAGUGGUAGAGUGCAUGCUUGCCUAGCAUGCAUGAAGCCCUGGGUUUGAUUCCUCAGUACCA